rnacentral:rRNA from 1 species
ACUAGUUUGAUUCUAGCUAGAAUAUUAAUUUAUAUGAAAGAUUACAUGUAUAAAAUUUAUAAAUUUAUAAUUUAUUUCAGUAAUAAGUAUUUAUUAAGUAAAAAAUUUUUAUGUAAGUUAUUUUAUUAAAAUGGAUUAAUGUUGUGCCAGCAUUCGCGGUUAUACAAUUUAUUUACGUUAAUAAUUUAGGUUAAAGAAUUAUUAAUAUUUUGGAUUUUUAAAAUAUAUAAAUUUAGGUGGAAUUUAUUUUUAAUAAAUUAAUCUAUAAAAAUUAUUUGUAAACCAUAAUAUUAAACUAGGAUUAGAUACCCUAUUAUUUUUGGCUUAUUUUAAGCAGGACAUUAGUAGAUAUUUACUAUUAAAUUCAAAGAAUUUGGCGGUGAUUUAUAUCUUAUUAGAGGAACCUGAAUUUUAAUCGAUAAACCACGAUAAUUUUUACCUUACUUAUAUUUGUAUAUCUCUAUACAUGGAAUGUUUUAUAAAGGAUAUUUUCUUUUAUUUUGAGAAUGUAUUUUAGGUCAAGGUGCAGUUUUAGUAAGGAUAGUUUGGGUUACUUUAGUUUUAUUUGUAAAUUACAUUUAUAAUUUUAUAAUUAUAUUUAAAUAGGAUUUAAUAGUAAUUUUAUCUAAUUAGAUAAUUUGAAUAUAGUUUUAAUUCAUGUACAUAUCGCCCGUCACUCCUGGUAAAACUGGAUAAGUCGUAACAAAGUAAUUUUACCGGAAGGUAAGGUUAGUUAAAG